UACAGAGGUGGCAAGCGUUGCUCGGUAUCACUGGGCUUAAAGGGCGCGUAGGCGGUGCGGUGCGGUUUCCGGUGAAAUCCCUCGGGCCCAACCGAGGAACAGCCGGGGCUACGGCCGCGCUAGACGGGCAUCAGGGGACAGUGGAACUCCCGGUGGAGCGGUGAAAUGCGUAGAUAUCGGGAGGAACACCUGUGGCGAAGGCGGCCCCCUGG
rnacentral:rRNA from 1 species